rnacentral:rRNA from 1 species
AUUGAACGCUGGCGGCAGGCCUAACACAUGCAAGUCGAGCGGAUGAAGGGAGCUUGCUCCUGGAUUCAGCGGCGGACGGGUGAGUAAUGCCUAGGAAUCUGCCUGGUAGUGGGGGAUAACGUCCGGAAACGGGCGCUAAUACCGCAUACGUCCUGAGGGAGAAAGUGGGUGAUCUUCGGACCUCACGCUAUCAGAUGAGCCUAGGUCGGAUUAGCUAGUUGGUGGGGUAAAGGCAUACCAAGGCGACGAUCCGUAACUGGUCUGAGAGGAUGAUCAGUCACCCUGGAACUGAGACACGGUCCAGACUCCUACGGGAGGCAGCAGUGGGGAAUAUUGGGCAAUGGGCGAAAGCCUGAUCCAGCCAUGCCGGGUGAGUGAAGAAGGUCUUCGGAUUGUAAAGCACUUUAAGUUGGGAGGAAGGAAAGUAAGUUUAUACCUUGCUGUUUUGACGUUACCAACAGAAUAAGCACCGGCUAACUCCGUG